AUGCAUGUCUAAGCAUAAGCCGAAUAUGGUAAAGCCGCGAAUGGCUCAUUACAACAGCCAUAGUUUAUUGGAUCUUAGAGUCCUACUUGGAUACCUGUGGUAAUUCUAGAGCUAAUACACGCAAUCAAGCCCCGACCUUACGGGAGGGGCGCAUUUAUUAGAACAAAACCAAUUGGCUUCGGCCAUCCAUUGGUGAAUCUGAAUAACUACGCAGAUCGCACGGUCUCGCACCGGCGACGUAUCCUUCAAGUGUCUGCCUUAUCAACUUUCGAUGGUAGUUUAUAUGACUACCAUGGUUGUAACGGGUAACGGAGAAUAAGGGUUCGACUCCGGAGAGGGAGCCUGAGAAACGGCUACCACAUCCAAGGAAGGCAGCAGGCGCGCAAAUUACCCACUCUCAGAACGAGGAGGUAGUGACGAAAAAUAACGAGACAGUUCUCUAUGAGGUCUGUCAUCGGAAUGGGUACAAUCUAAACCCUUUAACGAGGAUCUAUUGGAGGGCAAGUCUGGUGCCAGCAGCCGCGGUAAUUCCAGCUCCAAUAGCGUAUAUUAAAGUUGUUGCGGUUAAAAAGCUCGUAGUUGGAUCUGCGGCCUCGGAUGCCGGUCCCCCACUGGGUGCGAACUGGUUUUCCAGGCCUACCUUGCUGGUUUUCCGUUGGUGUUCUUAAUUGAAUGCCCUCGGUGGCCAGUACGUUUACUUUGAAAAAAUUAGAGUGCUCAAAGCAGACACUUCGUCUGAAUACUAGUGCAUGGAAUAAUAGAAUAGGACCUUGGUUCUAUUUUGUUGGUUUUCGGAGCGCAAGGUAAUGAUUAAGAGGAACAGACGGGGGCAUUCGUACUGCUGCGUUAGAGGUGAAAUUCUUGGAU
rnacentral:rRNA from 1 species